rnacentral:rRNA from 1 species
UACGUAGGGGGCGAGCGUUAUCCGGAUUUAUUGGGCGUAAAGCGUGUGUAGGCGGCUUGUUAAGUUUAAGAUAAAAGCCCGGGGCUCAACUCCGGUUCGUCUUAAAAACUGGCAGGCUUGAGUGUGGUAGAGGUAAACGGAAUUUCUAGUGUAGCGGUGAAAUGCGUAGAUAUUAGAAGGAACACCAGUGGCGAAGGCGGUUUACUGGGCCAUAACUGACGCUGAGGCACGAAAGCGUGGGUAGCAAAUAG